GGGUGAUGGUGGCGGACGGGUGAGUAACGCGUAAAGAACUUGCCCUGCAGUCUGGGACAACAUUUGGAAACGAAUGCUAAUACCGGAUAUUAUGCGAGUCUCGCAUGAGGUUCGUAUGAAAGCUAUAUGCGCUGCAGGAGAGCUUUGCGUCCUAUUAGCUAGUUGGUGAGGUAACGGCUCACCAAGGCGAUGAUAGGUAGCCGGCCU
rnacentral:rRNA from 1 species